GUUACUAACACCGGUAGUAGUCAUAGUAGUUCCACGGUUACUUAACACCGGUCGUAGUAGUUCACGGUUACUAACACCGGUAGUAGUAGUUCACGGUUACUAACACCGGUAGUAGUAGUUCACGGUUACUGACCCCGGUAGUAGUAGUUCGUUCACGGUUUACUGACACCGGUAGUAGUAGUCGUAGUUCACGGUUACUAACACCGGUAGUAGUAGUAGUAGUAGUAGUUCCCGGUUACUGACACCGGUAGUAGUAGUAGUUCACGGUACUGACAGGUAGUAGUUAGUAGUUCACGUUACUGACCCCGGUAGUAGUAGUAGUUCACGGGUUAUGGAAC
rnacentral:lncRNA from 1 species